UACCAGCACUCCGAGUGGUCGGGACGAUUAUUGGGCCUAAAGCAUCCGUAGCCGGUCAUGCAAGUCUUCCGUUAAAUCCACCCGCUCAACGGUUGGGCUGCGGAGGAUACUACGUGGCUAGGAGGCGGGAGAGGCAAGCGGUACUCAGUGGGUAGGGGUAAAAUCCUUUGAUCCAUUGAAGACCACCAGUGGCGAAGGCGGCUUGCCAGAACGCGCUCGACGGUGAGGGAUGAAAGCUGGGGGAGCAAACCGGAUUAGAUACCCGGGUAGUCCCAGCUGUAAACGAUGCAGACUCGGUGAUGGGAUGGCCUCGAGCUUUCCCAGUGCCGCAGGGAAGCCGUUAAGUCUGCCGCCUGGGGAGUACGGUCGCAAGACUGAAACUUAAGGAAUUGGCGGGGGAGCACCACGAAGGGGUGAAGGCCUGCGGUUC
rnacentral:rRNA from 1 species